rnacentral:rRNA from 1 species
CCCUUAGAGUUUGAUCCUGGCUCAGGAUGAACGCUGGCGGCGUGCUUAACACAUGCAAGUCAAGCGAAGCGAUUUAAAUGAGACUUCGGUGGAUUUUAAAUUGACUGAGCGGCGGACGGGUGAGUAACGCGUGGAUAACCUGCCUCACACAGGGGGAUAACAGUUAGAAAUGACUGCUAAUACCGCAUAAGCGCACGGUACCGCAUGGUACAGUGUGAAAAACUCCGGUGGUGUGAGAUGGAUCCGCGUCUGAUUAGGUAGUUGGUGAGGUAACGGCCCACCAAGCCGACGAUCAGUAGCCGACCUGAGAGGGUGACCGGCCACAUUGGGACUGAGACACGGCCCAAACUCCUACGGGAGGCAGCAGUGGGGAAUAUUGCACAAUGGGCGAAAGCCUGAUGCAGCAACGCCGCGUGAGUGAAGAAGUAUCUCGGUAUGUAAAGCUCUAUCAGCAGGGAAGAAAAUGACGUA